rnacentral:rRNA from 1 species
ACGCUGGCGGCAGGCCUAACACAUGCAAGUCGAGCGGUAGAGAGAAGCUUGCUUCUCUUGAGAGCGGCGGACGGGUGAGUAAUGCCUAGGAAUCUGCCUGGUAGUGGGGGAUAACGUUCGGAAACGGACGCUAAUACCGCAUACGUCCUACGGGAGAAAGCAGGGGACCUUCGGGCCUUGCGCUAUCAGAUGAGCCUAGGUCGGAUUAGCUAGUUGGUGAGGUAAUGGCUCACCAAGGCGACGAUCCGUAACUGGUCUGAGAGGAUGAUCAGUCACACUGGAACUGAGACACGGUCCAGACUCCUACGGGAGGCAGCAGUGGGGAAUAUUGGACAAUGGGCGAAAGCCUGAUCCAGCCAUGCCGCGUGUGUGAAGAAGGUCUUCGGAUUGUAAAGCACUUUAAGUUGGGAGGAAGGGUUGUAGAUUAGUACUCUGCAAUUUUGACGUUACCGACAGAAUAAGCACCGGCUAACUCUGUGCCAGCAGCCGCGGUAAUACAGAGGGUGCAAGCGUUAAUCGGAAUUACUGGGCGUAAAGCGCGCGUAGGUGGUUUGUUAAGUUGGAUGUGAAAUCCCCGGGCUCAACCUGGGAACUGCAUUCAAAACUGACUGACUAGAGUAUGGUAGAGGGUGGUGGAAUUUCCUGUGUAGCGGUGAAAUGCGUAGAUAUAGGAAGGAACACCAGUGGCGAAGGCGACCACCUGGACUAAUACUGACACUGAGGUGCGAAAGCGUGGGGAGCAAAC